ACGCGUCCCACCGGAGCAGAUUUAAGAAGAUGAACAAUGUGCUAAGAGGACAGAUGAGAUGACAAGCUGACAGCGUCUAAUGUUAGUAAACAUCUGCCAGCUGCUGUCUUGUGUUAUGAGCAUGCGCAGAUCUGCCCUCUGAUGGUGCCCGAGGCCACGAGUAACCGCUGCAGGGACACUUUCUAAAUCACGAAACUCCUAAGUACGGUUACGGUUAGAGUGCAGGAGUUGUUAAUGGCCCGCGUUGCUUCAAUUGGUUUCUAAAUGCUUAUGAGCGAGGGUCCAACUGUGCGCUUAAUGAACAGCUUACCAGCACAGCCCUUGGAUUAGCCGUCCUAUAUGGAAAAGAAUGAACAUCGCUUACAUCUCAUUUUGUAUUUGAUGGAAGAAAGAAAAUCAAAAGGGGUUCUGGAAUGGCAUGGAGGGUCUCCUCUGAACAUAUACUUUGAUUAUGGGACAGUGUUGAACUCACCAUGUGCCUGGGCCGCAGAACUGUGAGAGUAGCCCAGGGCGAGAAGCGCCGUCUCUACCAGCUGAGUGAAAAGGAUGUCCUUCCUGACCAGCACAAAUUCGGCAUGUUCCUCCCGACUCUCACCUUCUGAGAUCAUCCCUCCAUCCACCUGCUCCACCACACAGAAGACUGGAAUCAUCAGACCUGCAGAAGAAUGUGAAAAAAAAUGAAAAAAUGUCCAAGAGAUUGAGAGUUUAACUGAAUUAAGGCUUCCAGUUCAGAAUGCUCUUAUGGAGUGAAUUACAGGCCAGGGGCCGGUGCCAAUUCAAUUCCCGAUUUAUUAAGACAUGGAUGGAUGUAAGUGUCUUACCUCCGAGAGGUCUCUGAGGGGCUCCAUUGUGGCGACUGCGAUGUCCGGUGGGACUGCCAUUGAGUUCUAGCCGUCCCAUCUUCGGUGGUGGCCCACCAA